ACCCAGCUGACGAGUCCCAAAUAGGACGAAACGCGCGUCCUGAAU
rfam:Schistosoma haematobium scaffold566_6, whole genome shotgun sequence.